GGCAGUUCUCGGGUGUCGCACCCCGGAAUCGGGCUCCCUCCUCUCUGGUUCCAGGUGCAUAACCUGAGAACCACA
rfam:Myotis lucifugus cont2.34869, whole genome shotgun sequence.